rnacentral:rRNA from 1 species
CCUACGGGAGGCAGCAGUAGGGAAUCUUCCGCAAUGGACGAAAGUCUGACGGAGCAACGCCGCGUUAACGAUGAAGGCCUUCGGGUCGUAAGUUCUGUUGUUAGGGAAGAACAAGUACCGUUCAGAUAGGGCGGUGCCUUGACGGUACCUAACCAGAAAGCCACGGCUAACUACGUGCCAGCAGGCGCGGUAAU